AGAGCAUAGCGCAGCUUGGUAGCGCAGUAGUUUUGGGAACUACAGGUCGCAGGUUCAAAUCCUGCUGCUCUGA
rnacentral:tRNA from 1 species